rnacentral:rRNA from 1 species
UACGUAGGGGGCGAGCGUUGUCCGGAGUUACUGGGCGUAAAGGGCGCGCAGGCGGUCUGCUAAGUUCGGAGUGACAGUCACCAGCUUAACUGGUGAAGGUCUUUGAAAACUGGCGGACUUGAGAGCGAAAGAGGGAUACGGAAUUCCGGGUGGAGCAGUGAAAUGCGUAGAGAUCCGGAGGAACACCGAAGGCGAAGGCAGUGUCCUGGGUCGCAUCUGACGCUGAGGCGCGAAAACCAGGGGAG